rnacentral:ncRNA from 1 species
CAACAAUUGAUGACGAGAACGAGUACGCUAUGAAGCAGUCUGAAGAGAGUCGACGGGUGGUGCGAGUCGAUGGCUGACAUGGCAGAAUAUCCUCUCCGAGAUUCCCUGCUGAAUGCGAACUGUGCGCCUCCUAUGCUUUGUGGGGUUGCGGGGCACAGAAGUCUGAGUAAGCAAGGACGGCAUUUCCACCGUUACCCGGAUUCGCGAUGAAUACGCGGCCAAGCGCUGCAGCAGAGAAGGUCGAUUUCCGAAGAGGAAGCGAUGUUCAGCUGUAGAACAAGGGUGGUACCACGAGCUCAAACUCGUCCCUUCU